rnacentral:rRNA from 1 species
GAGUUUGAUCCUGGCUCAGGAUGAACGCUAGCGGCAGGCUUAACACAUGCAAGUCGAGGGGUAUAGGUUUUCGGACCUAGAGACCGGCGCACGGGUGCGUAACGCGUAUGCAAUCUACCUUUCACAAAGGGAUAGCCCAGAGAAAUUUGGAUUAAUACCUUAUAGUAAUACGACUUGGCAUCAAGAUGUAUUUAAAGAUUUAUCGGUGAAAGAUGAGCAUGCGUCCCAUUAGCUUGUUGGUAAGGUAACGGCUUACCAAGGCAACGAUGGGUAGGGGUCCUGAGAGGGAGAUCCCCCACACUGGUACUGAGACACGGACCAGACUCCUACGGGAGGCAGCAGUGAGGAAUAUUGGACAAUGGGCGCAAGCCUGAUCCAGCCAUGCCGCGUGCAGGAUGACGGUCCUAUGGAUUGUAAACUGCUUUUGUACAGGAAGAAACCCUUUCACGUGUGGAAGAUUGACGGUACUGUAAGAAUAAGGAUCGGCUAACUCCGUGCCAGCAGCCGCGGUAAUACGGAGGAUCCAAGCGUUAUCCGGAAUCAUUGGGUUUAAAGGGUCCGUAGGCGGUCAAGUAAGUCAGUGGUGAAAGCCCAUCGCUCAACGGUGGAACGGCCAUUGAUACUGCUUGACUUGAAUUAUUAGGAAGUAACUAGAAUAUGUAGUGUAGCGGUGAAAUGCUUAGAGAUUACAUGGAAUACCAAUUGCGAAGGCAGGUUACUACUAAUGGAUUGACGCUGAUGGACGAAAGCGUGGGUAGCGAACAGGAUUAGAUACCCUGGUAGUCCACGCCGUAAACGAUGGAUACUAGCUGUUGGGAGCAAUCUCAGUGGCUAAGCGAAAGUGAUAAGUAUCCCACCUGGGGAGUACGUUCGCAAGAAUGAAACUCAAAGGAAUUGACGGGGGCCCGCACAAGCGGUGGAGCAUGUGGUUUAAUUCGAUGAUACGCGAGGAACCUUACCA